GAUCGGUCUCGUUGGUGACCAGCGGAGGGUCAUUACCGAGUUUACAACUCCCAAACCCAAUGUGAACGUUACCAAACUGUUGCCUCGGCGGGAUCUCUGCCCCGGGUGCGUCGCAGCCCCGGACCAAGGCGCCCGCCGGAGGACCAACCAAAACUCUUUUUGUAUACCCCCUCGCGGGUUUUUUAUAAUCUGAGCCUUCUCGGCGCCUCUCGUAGGCGUUUCGAAAAUGAAUCAAAACUUUCAACAACGGAUCUCUUGGUUCUGGCAUCGAUGAAGAACGCAGCGAAAUGCGAUAAGUAAUGUGAAUUGCAGAAUUCAGUGAAUCAUCGAAUCUUUGAACGCACAUUGCGCCCGCCAGUAUUCUGGCGGGCAUGCCUGUCCGAGCGUCAUUUCAACCCUCGAACCCCUCCGGGGGGUCGGCGUUGGGGAUCGGCCCUGCCUCUUGGCGGUGGCCGUCUCCGAAAUACAGUGGCGGUCUCGCCGCAGCCUCUCCUGCGCAGUAGUUUGCACACUCGCAUCGGGAGCGCGGCGCGUCCACAGCCGUUAAACACCCAACUUCUGAAAUGUUGACCUCGGAUCAGGUAGGAAUACCCGCUGAACUUAAGCAUAUCAAAA
rnacentral:rRNA from 1 species